rnacentral:rRNA from 1 species
UAAACUUGGGUAUAGAUGSCCUAUUWUUUUUAUUAWAAAAAUUUAAAUAAUUUAWUUAUUAAAUGUAGAUCAUUAAAAAUAAAAAAUUWGGCGGUAUKUAUUAUUUAGAGGAACUUGKUUMUUAAAUUGAUAGUCCACGAGUGGAAAAACUUAAUUUUUUUWUUWUUUUUAUGUAUUGUUGUUGGAAAAUUWUWUUUAURGAUWUUAAUUWAUAAAUUUAAUUAAAAAAUUWUAAUUCAAAUCAAAAUGURGAAUAAUUARGAGUUUAAUGAGUUACAAUUAAAUUAAUAAUUGAAUUUUAAGAAUUUAAUUUUAUAAAUGAAAAUGGAUUUAAAAGUAAAAUUAUGUAAACUUAUAGUUGAA